rnacentral:rRNA from 1 species
UAUGUAGGGGGCCAGCGUUGUUCGGAAUUACUGGGUGUAAAGGGUUCGUAGGCGGUGCGGCAAGUUGGGAGUGAAAUCUCUGGGCUUAACCCAGAGGCUGCUUUCAAAACUGCUGUGCUUGAGUGUGAGAGAGGCUCGUGGAAUUGCAGGUGUAGCGGUGAAAUGCGUAGAUAUCUGCAGGAACACCCGUGGCGAAAGCGGCGAGCUGGAUCACUACUGACGCUGAGGAACGAAAGCUAGGGGAGCAAACAGG